rnacentral:rRNA from 1 species
AUUGAACGCUGGCGGCAUGCCUUACACAUGCAAGUCGAACGGUAACAGGUCUUCGGAUGCUGACGAGUGGCGAACGGGUGAGUAAUAUAUCGGAACGUGCCCAGUUGUGGGGGAUAACUACUCGAAAGAGUGGCUAAUACCGCAUACGACCUGAGGGUGAAAGCGGGGGAUCGCAAGACCUCGCGCAAUUGGAGCGGCCGAUAUCAGAUUAGGUAGUUGGUGGGGUAAAGGCUCACCAAGCCAACGAUCUGUAGCUGGUCUGAGAGGACGACCAGCCACACUGGGACUGCGACACGGCCCAGACUCCUACGGGAGGCAGCAGUGGGGAAUUUUAGACAAUGGACGCAAGUCUGAUCCAGCCAUGCCGCGUGCGGGAAGAAGGCCUUCGGGUUGUAAACCGCUUUUGUCAGGGAAGAAAAGGGCGACUAUAAUACAGUUGCCUCAUGACGGUACCUGAAGAAUAAGCACCGGCUAACUACGUGCCAGCCGCCGCCGUAACAC